AUAUAUAUUUUACCUCGUAAAGUUGGAGUUAUCUCCAAAGUCAAGGAGUCAAAAUAUUUACAUCGAUAAAUCCGUUCGCUACACCUCGCCGCUAACGCGGCCACCGGCGGGCUUUGGUGGCGCUGGACCGAGAUGGAUGUUGGCGGGAGACGCUGCAGUUGUUUUCUACCGAUUGUAAUUGCCUUUUUACCCUCCAGUAUGUAGAGUUGAAGACAAAGAGAAGGAAAAGUUACCCAACGACACAAACACACAACAAAUCUGAUCCAACCAAUUUGUUUCAUUCAUCUGAGGGCAACACACAACCUCUCAGCCAAUAACAUGCAGGUGCUCGGUUCCACGAGGAAAUAUGCACGCAUGAGAACAUGCACACACACACACACACACACACACACUGAGCAUGCACAGCGGCACACAGACAAAGAAACAUUCAGCCAUCUAGGUCAAAAGCAGCAGAGACUGAACCAGUCAGAUUGAUUCCCUAAGAUAUUCAUAGUAAUCUUAAAAUUGCUGCCUGUUGGAUAAUAAGACACUUUAUCAUCACACGCGGAGACAAGGUGCAUUAGUCUUGACCUGCCAGAGGGGCAAAAAGAAGGGGGGAACCGGAUGCAGUUUGAUCCCCAUAACAACCGGCUUAUUGAUUAUGGCAACGUGUGGCGGGUCGGAUUUGUCCAACGGCGAUGCCGCUCCUGCAGAGAGAAGGUGAAGGGGACGGAAGGCAGAAGAGUCCCCAAAAGGAAGAGGACAGCUGUGUUUGUGUGUGUCUUCGUCCUCUCUCCCUCCGGUCCAGGAUGGGACUCCCAGAGGAAGAUAAAUGUCGGCGUUGCAGGAAUUCAAUAGAUGUUCGGAGAAAUUCAACAGCCAAACCAGGCCAACCUUUUUUGUGUCAUUGUAUUUUUAGAAGUUAAGUGAAAGAAAGUGUUUGAGGCCCCACUGACCCCCAAAUUGUCCUGGUGUCCCCGGGGGACUGACAGGGCAUGCUGGGUUUGGAUAGUCGUCCACAGUAAAGUGUAGUGCAAAACUAAAUGUCAACCCUUUGGCUGAACCAGUGCAAUAAUUCACAUGCUCACGAACGCCAGAUUGUCAUCUCAAUUCCAGUGGCCAGCACGAAUUUGUUGCACACCAAAAAUGUUAAGUGUGACUAUUACAUGGCUAAGGACAGAACAGAAAAUGACCUGUAAAGCAUCUUUCUGUUUUUAUGUAGCACACAUGAAAUAGUUAACAUUAGAUGAACAAUAGCAAUAAACUAGGCCUGUCAAUAGAUUAAAAAAAAAAAUAGUAUAGAGUAUAGAAAUGACACUGAUGCAUCAUCUAUUUCACUACAGGUCAGGGCUUCUCAAUGACAUCAUUUUGAAUACUUUUGAAUAUUUUCUACUUGGCAACUGGGAAAAAGAUUGUGUCUGCUUAACAUAGAAGUAGUACUCGUUGUUGAUUGGCUGUUGGUAGGCUCAUACUUUCUGCCUUGUACAUAAAAUAAUCCUUUGUCCUUCCCGUAACACAUUUUUAUUCUGUAUUCUGAAAGAAAAUGUUGGAUGUUCACAUCCAUUCGUAUUACUUAUUUUGUUCCUUUCAAGGAGCUGUGCUUUUAUUAGUGAUGGUGUUUUGUUGUGAAAUAUGAUAUAAUCUUGCAAGAUAGACCCUUUAUUCUCCCUUCUCUAAGUAUAAAAUAAACCAUUACAUUAUAUAUUUUUAGGAAGAAAGCAUAGUCAAGAUUUAACAGCACAUUUUCAGUUACUAAAUAGGCAGAAAUAACAGUGAUUUACUCAAUAACAACAUAAACCCAAAUCAAGUGAUUAGCAUCCAACAAAAUGGAAAUCACGAAUAAACCACCAAAUGAAAGAAUGAUGUCAGUGAAAACACUCAAAAUGGCACCUUGAAAACAACCCAAGCAAAGAGUGUGUGUAAUGUGAUAAUCUCGCUGUAACAGGUGAGCGGGCCGGUAUCUUUUUGUCUCCCUGAGUCCUUACACACAAAUAAAAGGAUCAACGUACACGCUCAGUACGUUGACAGAACGUGGAAUCAAUGGUAGAACCAGAUGUGAUUGAAAUCACUCAUAACAUAUACGGCAUCAAAGCUAACCGACCAAACAACAGCAGCCUACUGAGAAUGUCUGUGUGUGUGUGUGUGUACGUCCACGCUCACACACACGGGUGUGCAUCUGUUUACACACAAACGCACACACACCAGGCGCAGUGCCUGAGCUAUGACCUAAUAGGAUAAUGAAUUCCGUGUGUGGAGGCUGUGUUAGAACCUGUGGUGUGUGUUGGCGGGAGCGUGCAGGGCAGCAGUGGGGGUUAAUACAACAUGAUAAAUAUUUGAUUUCUGCUGGGGCCGGUCCCCACCUACAGAAUGGGAAAUGGCUGUAAUGCGAUUCAGAACAGAUUGUCCUCUGGGAGGGCCCUUUGUGCGUUUGUACGCUACGUGUGUGUGUGUGUGUGUUUGCGUGAGUGUGUGUCUACGAGCAUAAAGGCCCCGCAACUGCAUGUGUAUGGCCAGGGGAAAUAAAGGAACAAAUCGGCUUACAAAUCACCGCGGCAGCGAGGCACCGCGGCGAGCAAUGGCCCCUGUCCGACUAUCACCCACCAGCAAUGACCCCGAACACAGCGAUCAAGUUGAUAUGGGCUCUGACGGGACAUUACGUACGGGUUCAGGAGGGGGGAGCAGCUCGCCGCACACCGGGACGCACUAGUUGCACUGACUGAGUUGUGUUCGUGUGAAGAAGAGAAAAUAAUGUAUUGAUGAGGUUGAAUCAUAAAACUCACAACAAAUGUGAUUCAUUAGUUCUGAAAUGCAGAGAGGGUGUGAUAAAUCCCCCAGAACUGGAGAGAUUGUUGUAAAUCCUUUUUCUGGGUGGUACAUUUUCUGUCGACCUGGGUCAAACAAGCUAACCUCUCCUAAAGGAUUAUGGGAGCUGUAUUUACAAAGUUACAUAUGACCAAACCCCAAUGUCAAUGUCAAAGUCAUUUGUUUUUGUUUAUCAACACAAUAAUGAACUUCUUGUGCUGAAUUCAUCUGCAAUGUCCCACAAAUAGAACAAAUCUGUGAAGCAUUCUCUGACGUGUUAGUGUUUCCAGCAGUAUCUGAAUGAGGCAUCCGACGCAGGAUGCAGGUUGGUAUGGUUAUGAACUCCAAGCAAAGCUCGCGGCCUUGGCUAACUAUUGAAACAAAUGCAGGAUGACACAGAAAAGCCACAAUAACGUUCUAACCUUGACCAGCCAUGAUUGUAAUUCAAAUAAGAGUUUUGCCGGAUGGGCAGCACAACAAGCUACAGUAUAAACACAUUUCUGAGGCAUGGUUUCUUUUAAAAGGCUACAAAUCUGAGUGUCCUUUCCAAAUCUUGAGAACCGUUCAUUUCAAGGACGUGCACACACCAAAUUAUUGCAACACACUAAUAAACCGAUAAAUGCGCGAGCUCUCCCGCUGGAUGUUGGAAAUACUAAUAUUACGGUUACAUUCUCCUCUCUCAUCUGGCCACUGUCAUUGACACAGGAAUCUUUCAACAAACUCCAACGUAAUGACUCACAUAGUAUGAACCUUCUUAACCACACAAUGGCUGCAAAAUGCUAAAAUCCCCCCAGCCAUUUUUUUUGCUAUUCUGGAACUUUUCAGAUCAGUCUAUGGGCUGGAAAAAAAAAUCAAUGGAAACAAUACAAAACUUGCCUGAAUGCAUCGAGGGUGGCGGGACGGGGGCGGCUCUGCCUAGAUCAGGGGUGUAAAAAAUACGGCCCGGGGGGUCCAGCUCGGCCCACCGGAUGACUUGCUAGUGUGAGAAUUACAGAAAAGACGCUAUUCCUAAUCAGUCCACUAGGGGUCGCGCUGUAUGAGUAAGCACAUGUCACAGACCAGGGGGGCCCACAGCUCGCAAGGUACUUUUUAAUCGUCAUAACGAUCUCGCCUCAGAAAAUAACGGUACCGUUAGAUAAAUGGAAAUACGAAGUAUGACGGUAUGUUUGUGGUAUUAGUUAUAUGAUAUGAUGUUCCAUGAUAUUAGAAAAGGAAUAUGAUGGUAUGUUUGUGAUAUUGGCAUGGCAUCACUGAAAUUAUAGAGGGGCACAUUUGUGUUGACCGUGCAACUUGAAAAAUGAAACUGAGAACCCAUUUUCCAAUGAUGGCUUAAUGGAACUGUAGGACUACGUUCACACCUUGUAGUCAUUCAUCAGUCGAACUGGCUGUGGGAGGUUAUCCAAACAGCGGCUAAGUGACCAGUUUCAGGGUACGCCAAGGAGACGGCAAAGGUUAUGCUCUCCAAGGUUGACGUGGUCUCUGACGAGGGCCCCAGCUCACAGCCUGCAAACAGUUCUGCAAACCGAUUGGGGCUACUCUUGAUCCAAUGGCCAGACAGAGCGCUACAGCAGGGGUGGGUGACCGGCUUCCGCUGUAUCGCCUCCCAGGACCCUACUACCUGGAGCCAACAUCCAAACUGGGUGAAAUACGAACAUAAUUCUCUCCCUGUCUCUGCCACAGGUUACUCCCCCUUCCCGCGCAUCUAUGGAUAACUGCCCCCCUGUUUCUGGAUCUGGAGAGAGAAAUUGCGUCCCAUCCACUCGAGCAUCGGUGAUGUGUGAUUUUGCUUGUACAUGAGCGAAUCUUAGCUUGACAACCUCAGAGCGUAGAAAUUCCAGCGCACUGCCUGGUGUCAUUGUUGCCUCCCAGGUUGGGAACCACAGCUGCAUUGCAUCCUAAUAUUUGCAGGUAUCGAUAUAAAAAAGUUAAUGUCCAAAUCGCCUGGGUGUAUUCAAGUCACUGAUCUGUCACUCGAAACGACUGUAACAGAUGUUUUAGACCUUAAAAAAGCCUGGACACCUUCCAAACAAACAUAUUUACACAGAUAUACCCCCGUCCCCCGCCCAACACACACACACACACACACACACAAUCAUGUUGUGAUAAAGAAAAGAAAGGAAAAAAAAUAUCCCUCAAACUCAAUACUGCAGGGAGUGUGAUAUAUUUAUAGACAAGUGUGCCACACAAUCAAGAGAUAUUUUGUCCUCAAGUGGAGGAAAAUAUGGUUUUGGUGAUAUUGGGUGGCACGUGAGAGAGGGUAAUGAUUGAUUAUGGCCAGACAGAACUCUUGUUGCUAAUUUAAUCAUGGCUGAAAAAUGACAAGAGCAGUGUUGCAACAAAAACACACACACACACACACAUACACACACUACCCAGCCACACUCCCACUCCCUUGUCCUUUCUUUUCCUGUUGUGCAAUUGUCAGAGCAAAUUAAUGCAAUUAACAUGGCCUUGGGCGGAAAGCGAGUGGUUUUGAGUUUGUCACGCUGCAAUUCUGUUAUCUAGAGAUGAAAAAAGGAAAACACACACAAACACACACUCACGCACAAUCUUGUUUCUUUGACUCGGACUAUUUUUCCCCCCACGUCUUUCAAAGGAGCUAUCCGUUUCUCGCGUGUGCGCCGCUGUCACGGCGUCCCCUCUCAUUUGGGAUGAGACGGAGACGUUGGCGUCAGCCCCAAUGAAAUCACUGUUAAUGUGUCCUAAUGAGUCAGCCGUGCUGACGCACACACCGGCCACUCGGAUUCCUGUCUAGACGCACUGCGUGCGCUGGAAAAAGGAUGCACGUGCACACAUAAGCACACACAUACACACACACAAACACGCAGCCUUUAUUGCAACAAGCUUGAUGACAGGUGAUAACUCGAUAAACUCCCAUCGCUCCCAAUACGGCUUGUGGAUUAUCCUUACGCACUUCGGAUAACUAUUAUAGCCUCUCAAAGCGAAUAUUGAUCGCAUUUAUUUAUUCAUUUUAUCUCCCUCUCUUAACGGCUCACAUUCUGAAAGGCUGUGCAUCCAACAGCAACCUGAACCUUGACCUUGAGCGUUAUUGCGGUGCGACACUUGUAAGAAAAACGUCCGCGCCUCUUUUCUCAUAAUUGUCCUUGUAAAUGUCAAUAUUUGACAUUUACCAGGUGACACACAGUCAAUAUUAUCCACUUCACAGUUUUAUAUUGCACGUGAUAUACAACAUGCGCAUAGCUUAAACUGUGGACGCUAAGUGCAUGAGCACAGAGGAGGAGGGGAUUCUGCUCCCAGCUCGCUCUUGCUGAUGUUGGCACUGACCCCAGACAUGCAGAGCUGACCCUAUUAGCGUUGUUUAUGACAUGUUUAGGACUAGUAAACAUAGUAGCAAACACUCCAUUAGGCUUCACUAUAAAAAAAGGUCUUCACCUCUGCAGCCAACAGAGCCCUUUGUGUGUGUGUGUGUGUGUGUGUGUGUGUUUUCCAUGUGUGUGGCCUGUUAGUCGAGCGUUGGAAGUAUUUCUUCCACCGUGUUCGUCCCAUUGUGCUGAGACCAAUUUGUCCGUCCGGCAAGCUGUGAUUUAGUACGAGCAAUAAGAGCUUCAGACGGAGUGUGUUGCUGCUUUUUUUUCAACUGGUCAUUGUGCAGAAAUGUGAAAUAUGCAUUUGAUAUUUCAAGAUGCGGCGAAAGCAGGAGGAUGGAGCCACACAGGUGGACAGGUCAGGGGCCCGGGCUCUUUAUGUUGCAGGGCAGAUGACAAUUCUUGAAUGGAUGGUCCAAUAAGACGAUAUGAUUAUGUGUCGCAGGUUCAAAAGCUGAGGAAAUAUGGGGCCCAUAUUCAGACGAGGUUGGGACUGUUAAUCAAAGCUUCCCAACAACCUUUUUCUCAGUCGUAGGAGCACAAAAAAAUAAAGGAUUUUCCACUCGAUGGUUUGAAGGAAAGAAAUGUAUUGUAAUUUUUGGGAACGCUUGUAAAUGACAAAAGUGUUCAGCGGCGUGUUGAUCGGUCGAGCGAUCCAUCCUAAAGUGCCUGGAUAACUAUUGAAUGUCAUUACAUUUUGGUCCAGAUACCAAUGGCGAAGAGAGAAUGAAUCCUCAUGACCUGCUUUGUUAUCUUAAGAAGGUCAUAGUCUUCACUUUAUUACUAAAAAAUCUAAAUGACUCAUGUCACCACCUACUCAAUUGAAAGAAUUUUAAAUAACUUUGGUGAUAUUCACACCCAGCGCAAUCAACAGGUUGAAAUCCAACUAGUUCAAUACUUACAAAUACCAAAUACCUACAAAACUAAAAACAUGCCAGUCAUUUUGGGCUUAAAGCACUGAAAACCAUCCAUCCAUUCUAUAAAUACUGUAUUAAAUAAUGCAGUUAAACAACAUGAAAUAACAGUCAGUUACAUUGUUCAAUUUGUAUGAACUCUCUGGGCCAAUAAGAUGGAAGGGCAGCCUGUGUGAAUGCAGAAACCUGGGGAAAAAACGCAAGGUCCAUAAAUGUAACACAUGAAGUGGGAGGAUCAAAACACACAUUCAGUAUUGGUUCUGUAAGUCAAAUGACCUCAAAUCUAAUGUUAGACUUAGUUGUGGAUGAUAACGCAGGGGUGGAGAGGCUGCACCAGGAACCGCAUGGUUGGUGGUUCUCGCCCUGGGUCACCCAUGUUGAAGUGUCCCUGAGCAAGACACCAAACCCCUAAUUGCUCCCUGGGCAAAAAUGUAAAAAGCCACGGGUUAAAAAUGCAAUGCAAGUUGCUUUGGGUAAAAGCGUCAGCUAAAUUACCUGUAAUGUAAUAUAAUAACGUUUGAAAAACAGUUCUAAAAUGAAGGGAGCUAAACCAAACAUCCAUAAUAGAGGUUAUGUUUUCGGCCUGAACAGCAGUUCAACAUGAGUUCAAACAGCACACUUAUUCGAGAGGCAAUGUAGUUUAAUUCAUGUAUUUAAAAUCAUCUGCACAAUGGGAAAAAAUGUGUUAUACAGGGUGAUUGUUUGCCCUUCACAGAAAAAUUUUGGGACCAGAACAUCGGUCUACAAGUUGAAUGUCCUGUGUUUGUUUGACUCAACCACCCACGAGCAGCCUUUCUCCCAGUUCAUUGCCAUCUGUUCAUUGCCACCUCACCAGCUUUGUGUGUGGAUACGUUUAAUUUAACAGAUCCUAAUUGACCGUUAGCUGUCAGCAGCAGCGAUCACACAUCUUCAUCAGUUGUCACAGGUUCAGUUGGAUAUCACAGAGAGAUACACAAGCAGGGUCGCCUGGCCUGAGUUUUGUUUUUAUUGGAGAAUGCACGCAGUAAAUACAUAAAGGCAACAGAGCUGAUAAUAAAUAAUAAAGACAAAUCUGUCUGAACCAAAUCAGUCUGGAGAUUCAGCCCUGCUGCUUAUUAGAGGAACAGUCCUUUUAAUUAAAUCUUUAGCUUUAGUACUGAUGUUUGACUUGUCUUGAGGGCUGUAAUGUUUUACAAAGGACAGCUAGAUCUUGUUUAAUUAGGGCAAACUCAAAAGUGAGAGUAACAAAAACAGUGGGUGACCAAAAUGUUCUUUUUUAUUUACAACGAUAAAAGGAAGACACCAUGUGAUCGACCUCGAGGUAAAUCACAGACAUAAGCAACAGAAAGGAGAGACGGCUGGGUUUUUACUGAUGAGCUGUUCUGUGCAUGCUACUCAUUUUAGCACUUUCAAAGUGCUGUCUGGUCACAAGUGCCCAAGUGGUCAAACUGACAAAACCGAUCCCCCGAAAUGUUCCUUAGAAGUGUCAUAUAAACCUCUCUGCAGGCAGCAGACAGCAACGUGAACACAGCCGAGCAUUUAGCCGCUGGAGGGCGGUGUCUCUUUUUCCCGAGUUGGUGGAGACCUAAUCAGAGCCAAAAGCAACAUUAAUAUCAAACUUUACCGACCAGGAGGUUGCUGCUUGGUUUAAGGUGCUAGUUAAUUCAACAGGAGUACCGGGGUGAUUGCUCUCCUUUACUGGCAAGUGCCUUGCACAAAGGCACCUUUGUACAAAGCACUUAAGGGGUUUAAGGGAGUUAUGUACUCAACAAUUAGUGCAAAUUAGAGCGUCAGAGCGUAACACUUCUUUCUUUUUCUUUUCUUUAUUGAAAGUAAAUAAUGAACUAUUUUUGUGACUUCACGGAUAUUUCCGCAAUGAUGCUACAUUUUUCAAUUGAAUCAUCAUAUUUCUCUCUUUUGAAUUAAGAUUUGACGGGAAAUUUUGUAAAACCCAAUUGAAUUGAGCUGGAUUCGCCACCGAUUGGUUCAGGAGGUUCAGACAAUAAACAACAAACGUGCUCGUCCAAGCUGGUUCAUGUGUACCGUAUCUCCAUACCGAUGCAAUCACAACUCAUUUGUGUGAUUCAGAGGAAACACGCUGGCCUAUAUUCCAAACAAACACACAAACAUGUCCAUACAUAUCUGUGUGCUGCUCAUUAAAGUCAGCAUGUUAGUGGGAUUAGGAUCCCAAACAAUGUGUGAGUGUGCGCGCGCGCUGCAUGCCGGCGUCCGGAGGCAACAGAUCUAAAGUGUGUGAAAUGACGGAGUAGCCAACAGUCGGCCCUCGGCUAUGAAACGGCAUCGAGGAGUGUGUGUGUGUGUGUGCUUUUAUGGACGUGUGUGUACCACAUUCAUAUCAGACAUAUGUCAAAUUCACUGACACAUCUGCUGAUGUGAGUGACACGGUGCUUUCGGGGCCCUCUCCACACGCCCCCCCCCCCCCCGCCCCCCCGUAUCUCCCCCUUGACGUGGAACAGUCCUCCUUUUGGGCUGCCGGGUAAUGAGGCAACGUGAUGAGAUGGAGGGAAGCUACAAGGUUCAGUCAGGUGUCACAUUUACUGGAGGCCUUAACUACGCCACACAGGGUGAUAAUACAACAAAUUCAGUGUGCGUUUAUUUUAUACAGGCUGUGAUUUCUAGUGGUGUGUGUGGAAACUCAUUUACUCUUCUUCUUUCUUGUAUUCCUUCAUUACUCAUUUUCUUCAUAUGCUUUUCAUAAUCAUGCACAUGUAUGUAUAUUUGUACCUCUCUUUUCUUCCUUCCUCGGUGUCUCUCCUCAUUACUUCAUUCCUUCCCUCCCCAGUCGUUCUGUUUAGUUCAUUAUUCCACUCUGGCUCGAUUUGUCGCUUUCUUCGUUGUAUAAUAAGAUCUUUUCAAAGAUCAGGAAAUGAGUGAUGUUAAUUCAUUCUCUAUGGUGUCUUUGUUUCUUAAACAUCCUAUAGAUGGCGCUGUUGCCCACGGCAGGAAGGUCCUCUGAGAUCUUUACAGGCCUUUUUCUUUUGUCGGAGGGAAAACCUCUCCUUUCUCCCUUCACUUCUUUUAUUGUACCUUCGACCAUUUGAUGUUCCCCAAACAAAAUUAUACAAAUUAUUCAAUGCUGAUGAUGUUUCCUGCUCUCGCUAAAAAAACUACAAAAAAUGCUACUUAGUUUGUGUGUUCAAAACAUUGCUUUGCUUCUGCGCUCCAUGACCCACGUGUGGACUGAAGAGAACAUGUACAAGACUCUUUGUGAGAUCAUGUGAUUCAAGUUGAUUUUUAAAGCAAUUCAUGUCAACAUUCUAGUUAAGUGCACCUGUUUUACUUUGCUCUGCAUUUUCAUCUGCAUUGGUGUCAGUGUUUUUUUUAUUUAUUUGACCUUUGGGACUGUACAGUUAAAUUAUCAAUCAUUUCUUUAGUGUAUCUUCAGUUUUUCAUGAAAUAUUGCUUUUCUGUACAACAUACAUUUCCAUUUCUUAAAAAAAAGGAAAAACAAUAAAUCAAAUGGAACAGAUGGUGAAUCCUGAAAAAUAGUUCCUGAAUCACCAUCUGUCAUUUGGGUAUACUUUGGUCUCAGAGGAGGGACUCUUUCAUGUUUUCCUUAUUGUUGAAGCUUCUUCCAAAAGGAAUGAAGUGGAUCCUAACUAGGGGCGUUUUUCACCACACGGCAACAUACUUCCACUGAAAACAAGUAAAAAGUUUGACCAUCUUAAAAAUUCAGAUAAGUAAUCACGAUUAAAACAUUUAGCAGAGUUACAGGUCGGACCCUCAGUUAGGGAGCGUAAACCACAAACAGUCUAUUCAUCUAUUCAAUGAGAAUCAAUGGAAAUAUACUUCUUCUGUACGAAGAAUAAUUGAAAAAAUUGAAGGUAUGAAAUGAACAAGGCUUUUUCUUUUCUAAACCAUGUGGCCGUCCGAACCUCUCAUCAUCUUUAUGCAGUGCGUGGAGGCGCGGUAACCAUUUCACCUGCCCGCUUUGGCGGCCGGAUAAGAGGUGCUUGCAUAUUCAUAAGAGCUACAGAUAAGAGCUACCCAUGCAGCUCCGUUUAAUUGAGAAUGAUGGAGAGGGAUGGAGGGACGGAGGGACGUCGGAGUGCAGGGGAGGAGGGUGGAGGGGGACGGGGAACGAUAACCCGGCGCUUGCCUUGAUGCAUUAAUUGAGGGUAUUAGAAGGAGGGAUGGAUGGACUCGGAGGUGGUGGCGGUGGGCGGGUGGUGGCGGCGUACCACGCAAAUGCCAGCAGUGCCAAUAAAUCACUCCCUGACGGUGAUUGACUCUGCAAAUGUAGUCAGGACAAGGCAGGGGAAGGUGGAGGGGAAUCAAUCAACGCACACCCAAAACUUUCUCAACCCUCGGAGUUCUGCCGCAGAUAAAAAGUUGUCAUCACAAUGGGGGGAACCUCCGUGACCUGGAGAUACUUAGAUGUAACUUUUCAACGACAAUUCAUUUGCCGCCGUUGAGGGACCUGCAGGAGCCAGUUGUGUCAGCAGUAGUGUGAGGGAAUGCGGAAUUACAACAUUUUCAUAGUUUGGACCAUUUGUCCUUUCGGUUAAGCUUCCUGUUUUAUGAAAGAAUUAAAUAUAUUUGAUGAAAUAUAUGAAGCUUAGGCAAAAAUUCAGUCAGGGAGACUGGAGAAGCUAAUGCCUGCCCCAGGGGCCCCGCUGUCUAUGGGUGUAGGCCAUAAGCUGAUUGGGGGCAAAGGCAGUUUCCGUAAACCCAUCGCGUCGGUGCUGGUCAACGUUAAAAGCUGUUAUCAUCUCUGUUGCUGUCAGUUGUCAUUUCAACAACCACCAGACGCAACCCUCCGCCCCCCCUGACUCCUCCAAUCAGCAGGGGAAUCUGGCAUAUCGAAAGAGUGGAGCAACUUAUUCUCUACCACCACCACCAGUGUCCGAACUCCCGAAGGGGGGGGAUAUGCCUCAUCUCAUCUCGGCAUCUCGGUCCCUGGUCUAUCCUACGGCUGGAUGGAGUCCAAGCCCCAACAAACUUUGCACUGUUUCAUCAACUUCAGUCAUUCAAUCAUUGCUAAAAGUUCAAAAGUCUCUCCUGAUUGAAUUAUAUUUUGCGUGUUUAGAGUGUCUUCCAACCCUCAAACUGUGAAAUACAGUAAGUAAACCCAGUCCAUCUUUUUUGCAGGCUUUGCGAUCAGAAAACAGGUGGUGAGGCCCCACUUCUCACGUCACGUGCACUCACAACAUAUCGCCCCAAUAGUUGAGCUUCUCCGCCAUAUUUUUCUUGCGAGCUAAAAAAGAGACUACAUGCUUUAUGUUCAACAAUGUCUGUCCGGAGGUAACUCUAGCCCCCCCCCCCGCUCUGUUUUUAGCCGCUGUCUGUUUAAGCUAAACAUAAUAUUGAACAACCUGAGAAUGAGCAUCGGAUGUUUCCUCGGCAACAACCCAAAGGUCCCGUUGGCGUCUCUCUGGCAGGAUGUCGGAGGGCCGCAGCUAACAUACUAUUAUGGGAAGUUGGGUUGUCAAGGGAACUCAAUCUCCUUGACCUUAUUACCGGAGAUGGCCUCAGCGUCUCUGACUGUGUCUCCACCACCAGCUCCACUGCUGCCGCAGACGCCGCCUGUAUGUGUGUGUGUGUGCCUGAUUGUGUGUUUGGUUCCAGUUGGAUUGAUGUGCUGAUGUGCUUUUUUUGGUACAGUUUUUCUCCAUUUAUUGUUUGUACAAAACUUUGUCUCUGAGUGUG
ensembl:lncRNA